rnacentral:rRNA from 1 species
GAUGAACGCUAGCUACAGGCUUAACACAUGCAAGUCGAGGGGAAACGGCAUUAAGUGCUUGCACUUUUUGGACGUCGACCGGCGCACGGGUGAGUAACGCGUAUCCAACCUUCCCAUGACUAAGGGAUAACCUGCCGAAAGGCAGACUAAUACCUUAUGGUCUUCACUGACGGCAUCAGAUGUGAAGUAAAGAUUUAUCGGUUAUGGAUGGGGAUGCGUCUGAUUAGCUUGUUGGCGGGGUAACGGCCCACCAAGGCAACGAUCAGUAGGGGUUCUGAGAGGAAGGUCCCCCACAUUGGAACUGAGACACGGUCCAAACUCCUACGGGAGGCAGCAGUGAGGAAUAUAGGUCAAUGGGCGAGAGCCUGAACCAGCCAAGUAGCGUGCAGGAUGACGGCGCUAUGGGUUGUAAACUGCUUUUGUAUGGGGAUAAAGUCAAUCACGUGUGAUUGUUUGCAGGUACCAUACGAAUAAGGACCGGCUAAUUCCGU